GCCGAGUCGAGCGGCCGGUUCCGCGUGCACCGGUUCGGUCGGUGCGGCCGGAUCCUCGGCGUGGUGCGGUUCGACGGCGUGGUGCGGCUC
rnacentral:tRNA from 1 species